rnacentral:misc_RNA from 1 species
UCCGGCUUACACCGGCGGUCUCCUGUGAGUGCCCGACUUUACUCGCUGGUAACACAGAACGAGGGUUGCGCUCGUUGGCGGACUUAACCGUACACCUCACGGCACGAGCUGACGACAGCCAUGCAACAUCUGUUUUCAGGUCUCCUUGUGGGAGAGGGCUCUAUCUCUAGAGCUUUCCUUCAAUGUCAAGAGUGGGUAAGGUUCUUCGGUUAGUAUCGAAUUAAUCCACAUGCUCCACCGCUUGUGCGGGUCCCCGUCAAUUCAUUUGAGUUUCAACCUUGCGGCCGUACUCCCCAGGCGGGAUACUUAAUGCGUUAGCUGCGGCACAGGAGGGGUCGAUACCUCCUACGCCUAGUAUCCAUCGUUUAGGGCGUGGACUAC